AUCAACGCAAGCAAUGGCGUGAUUCUUUUAUUUUAUUUUUUUUUUUUUGUUGGGUCUUCGCACAUCCAUCGAACGAACGGCGCCGAGCCUACGCAGGUCUGCGCCAGUUGUCGUCUUGUAAUUGGUCAGAAUCUACCUUGGAGUUUAGCCAACCCAACCCAUCGCCGCGAUUCUGAGUUGUCAAACACCCCUUGGUGGGCCCCGCUAUUAUUGGAGGGGUUAAAAUAUGUAGACACCCCCUCAACUAUAAGAUUUAUUUGAAAUUGCCCGUUUAUCUUUCCUUAUAUAUGAUCUUUCUUUAUAAAAAAAUUCAUUAGUUUUGUAUUUUGACAAACCGGAUCAUUUUUAAUUUUAUAGAUUCAGUCAAAAUUUUUAAGUAGGAGAUAAAAACACUUUUUUUUUUCUCCUUCCCCUCUUUCUUCUUCCGUUUCCUCUUCAUUCUUUUUCUCCUCCACUUGCUUCCUCCCUAUUCUCCUCUUCCUUCUCCAUCACCCCCGCUUUGCCACUGCGCUCCUCCCUCUGCCUCGUUCAUAACUUUGCUGACGCUGGCGACAGCACGAGGGCUUGGAUACGGCACGAAUCGUGCAGGAUGAAGGUGUUAGGCAAUGCAUUUGACAGCCUCGACCUCGACCGUGACGGCAAAGGAGUCGACCUGUUUGAUGACAACAAUGACGACUAAGUUGCAUCACUUGAGAUUAAGUUGCACGAUUUAAAAUUAUUUAAGGCUAAAUUAUACCACAAAAAUAAAAGUUGUAUGUUAUUAUAAUUCUCUUCUUACUAUGUAGUAAUAUUUGUCCAAAUAGUGCAAAGUCUCUUGUGCCACCAUCAUAUCCA